rnacentral:rRNA from 1 species
UACGUAGGUGGCAAGCGUUGUCCGGAUUUAUUGGGCGUAAAGCGCGCGCAGGCGGUUUCUUAAGUCUGAUGUGAAAGCCCUCGGCUUAACCGAGGAGGGUCAUUGGAAACUGGGAGACUUGAGUGCAGAAGAGGAAAGUGGAAUUCCAAGUGUAGCGGUGAAAUGCGUAGAGAUUUGGAGGAAUACCAGUGGCGAAGGCGACUUUCUGGUCUGUAACUGACGCUGAGGCGCGAAAGCGUGGGGAGCAAAC